AGUGAACGCUGGCGGUAGGCCUAACACAUGCAAGUCGAACGGCAGCACAGUAAGAGCUUGCUCUUACGGGUGGCGAGUGGCGGACGGGUGAGGAAUACAUCGGAAUCUACUUUUUCGUGGGGGAUAACGUAGGGAAACUUACGCUAAUACCGCAUACGACCUACGGGUGAAAGCAGGGGAUCUUCGGACCUUGCGCGAUUGAAUGAGCCGAUGUCGGAUUAGCUAGUUGGCGGGGUAAAGGCCCACCAAGGCGACGAUCCGUAGCUGGUCUGAGAGGAUGAUCAGCCACACUGGAACUGAGACACGGUCCAGACUCCUACGGGAGGCAGCAGUGGGGAAUAUUGGACAAUGGGCGCAAGCCUGAUCCAGCCGUACCGCGUGGGUGAAGAAGGCCUUCGGGUUGUAAAGCCCUUUUGUUGGGAAAGAAAAGCAGCAGGUGAAUACCCCGCUGUUCUGACGGUACCCAAAGAAUAAGCACCGGCUAACUUCGUG
rnacentral:rRNA from 1 species